rnacentral:rRNA from 1 species
GAGCCUGAGAAACGGCUACCACAUCCAAGGAAGGCAGCAGGCGCGCAAAUUACCCAAUCCCGACACGGGGAGGUAGUGACAAUAAAUAACAAUACCGGGCAUUUUUGUCUGNUAAUUGGAAUGAGUACAAUCUAAAUCCCCUAACGAGUA